GACGAACGCUGGCGGCGUGCCUAACACAUGCAAGUCGAGCGAGGGAUUUCGGUCCCUAGCGGCGGACGGGUGAGUAACACGUGGGUAACCUGCCUCCUAGAGGGGGAUAGCCUCCCGAAAGGGAGAUUAAUACCGCAUAACAUGUUUUGAUUGCAUGAUCGAAACCUUAAAGGAGCAAUCCGCUAUGAGAUGGACCCGCGGCGGAUUAGCUAGGUGGAGAGGUAACGGCUCACCAAGGCGACGAUGCGUAGCCGACCUGAGAGGGUGAUCGGCCACAUUGGAACUGAGAUACGGUCCAGACUCCUACGGGAGGCAGCAGUGGUGAAUAUUGCACAAUGGGCGAAAGCCUGAUGCAGCAACGCCGCGUGAGUGAUGAAGGCCUUCGGGUUGUAAAGCUCUGUCUUUGGGGACGAUAAUGACGGUACCCAAGGAGGAAGCCGUGGCUAACUACGUGCCAGCCGCCGCCGUAA
rnacentral:rRNA from 1 species